rnacentral:rRNA from 1 species
AUCUCCACACACUCAAGCCACACUAUUGGAGAACACACAGGGACAACACACAAUAAGUGCAGCGCAAUGGCGGCCACCACCAUGUCUCUUUCCUCUUCGUACCUCGCCGGCAAGGCCGUCAAGAACUUGCCCUCGUCGGCUCUCAUUGGUGAGGCACGUGUGAACAUGCGCAAGACUGCCGCGAAGGCUAAACAAGUUUCGUCGAGCAGCCCGUGGUACGGCUCUGACCGUGUGCUCUACCUCGGCCCGCUUUCCGGCGAGCCCCCCAGCUACUUGACUGGUGAGUUCCCCGGUGACUAUGGGUGGGACACCGCCGGGCUCUCGGCUGACCCUGAGACCUUCGCCAAGAACCGGGAGCUUGAGGUGAUCCACUGUCGAUGGGCCAUGCUCGGUGCGCUUGGUUGUGUCUUUCCCGAAUUGCUUGCCCGCAAUGGUGUGAAGUUUGGCGAGGCCGUCUGGUUCAAGGCCGGCUCUCAGAUCUUCAGCGAGGGUGGCCUCGACUACCUUGGCAACCCCAGCCUCGUCCACGCUCAGAGCAUCCUCGCCAUCUGGGCUUGUCAAGUUGUGCUCAUGGGGGCUGUUGAGGGGUACCGCAUUGCUGGUGGUCCGCUCGGCGAGAUCGUCGAUCCACUCUACCCUGGUGGUAGCUUUGACCCGCUUGGCCUGGCCGACGACCCCGAGGCAUUUGCCGAGCUCAAGGUUAAGGAGAUCAAGAAUGGCCGCCUCGCAAUGUUCUCCAUGUUUGGCUUCUUUGUGCAGGCAAUUGUCACCGGCAAGGGCCCAUUGGAGAACCUUGCCGACCACAUUGCCGACCCUGUCAACAACAACGCGUGGGCAUUCGCCACCAACUUCGUGCCCGGGAAGUAAGACAGGAAUGAUGGAUGCGAAUUGUAUAUACAAUUAGCGUUGGGGAGCCCCUCUACCUGCCUGCUUGCUGACAUUGUCGAGGGUCAAGUGGAUUGUUUGUUGUGAUGUGAUUGCUCUUCUUCUCUUGUGGUGUCUUCUUCGGGUGUGGUUCCGUGCUGCCGGAGUUUUCCUUCUGUGAUUACAGUGGUCGGUGAGCACAGUGAAGCGAUCUAGGUGUACACUCGGCUCCUUGUUGCCCUUCGGCUUUGCCAGCGGUGCCGCUGUUGUGUUGUAGACUCGGAUGUGUGUGACUCUUCGUCCGGGUGUGGACUCGGUCGCUCAUUGCCCUUCGGCUACACCAAUAGCUUUGAGGCAUCAUGGAUGGUCUCGGUUGAUUGGAGCUCUUGGUCUACAAUGGUGGUGUUCUCAUGCAGCCUUCCGUUCGCGAGGACUAUGGAAGAUGAUGGCAUUCCGGUCCUUUUCUUUUUCCCUUCUAUUGUGUCAGGUGUAAUCUAUUUCCUCUCAUCCCUGUAUUCCUCUGUAAUUUCCCGGCUUUGCCGGUUCCUUCUUAAUGAGUGAAAAGUAGUGCUGGUACAUUUCGUCAAAAGAAAAG